rnacentral:misc_RNA from 1 species
GAUGAAGAACGUAGUAAAAUGCGAUAAGUAAUGUGAAUUGCAGAAUUCAGUGAAUCAUCGAAUCUUUGAACGCACAUUGCGCCCGCCAGUAUUCUGGCGGGCAUGCCUGUUCGAGCGUCAUUUCAACCAUCAAGCCCCCCGGCUUGUGUUGGGGACCUGCGGCUGCCGCAGGCCCUGAAAAGCAGUGGCGGGCUCGCUGUCACACCGAGCGUAGUAGAUCUCAUCUCGCUCAGGGCGUGCUGCGGGUUCCGGCCGUUAAACCACCUUCAUAACCCAAGGUUGACCUCGGAUCAGGUAGGAAGACCCGCUGAACUUAAGCAUAUCAAUAAGCGGAGGA